rnacentral:rRNA from 1 species
GACGAACGCUGGCGGCGUGCUUAACACAUGCAAGUCGAACGAAGUGGCGAACGGGUGAGUAACGCGUAAUCACCCUGCCCUUCCGAGGGGGACAACAGUUGGACACGACUGCUAAUACCGCAUACUGAAGUAGGGGAUUGCGUCUGAUUAGCGAGUUGGCGGGGUAACGGCCCACCAAGGCGAUGAUCAGUAGCCGGUCUGGGAGGGUGAACGGCCACAGUGGGACUGAGAAACGGCCCAGACUCCUACGGGAGGCAGCAGUGGGGAAUCUUCCGCAAUGGACGAAAGGCUGACGGAGCAACGCCGCGUGAGUGAUGAAGGGCUUCGGGUUGGAAAGCUCUGUUAAUCGGGACGCGGUACCGGAAUAGAAAGCCACGGCUAACUACGUGCCAGCAGCCGCGGUAAUUC